CAAUGUGGAGGUUAUAUACAGGGGGUACCGGUACAGAGUCAAUGUGGAGGCUAUAUACAGGGGGUACCGGUACAGAGUCAAUGUGGAGGCUAUAUACAGGGGGUACCGGUACAGAGUCAAUGUGGAGGUUAUAUACAGGGGGUACCGGUACAGAGUCAAUGUGGAGGCUAUAUACAGGGGGUACCGGUACAGAGUCAAUGUGGAGGCUAUAUACAGGGGGUACCGGUACAGAGUCAAUGUGGAGGCUAUAUACAGGGUGUUACGGUACAGAGUCAAUGUGGAGGCUAUAUACAGGGGGUACCGGUACAGAGUCAAUGUGGAGGCUAUAUACAGGGUGUUACGGUACAGAGUCAAUGUGGAGGCUAUAUACAGGGGGUACCGGUACAGAGUCAAUGUGGAGGCUAUAUACAGGGGGUACCGGUACAGAGUCAAUGUGGAGGCUAUAUACAGGGGGCACCGGUACAGAGUCAAUGUGGAGACUAUAUACAGGGUGUUACGGUACAGAGUCAAUGUGGAGGCUAUAUACAGGGGGUACCAGUAAAGAGUCAAUGUGGAGGCUAUAUACAGGGGGUACCGGUACAGAGUCAAUGUGGAGGCUAUAUACAGGGGGUACCGGUACAGAGUCAAUGUGGAGACUAUAUACAGGGGGUACCAGUAAAGAGUCAAUGUGGAGGCUAUAUACAGGGGGUACCGGUACAGAGUCAAUGUGGAGGCUAUAUACAGGGGGUACCGGUACAGAGUCAAUGUGGAGACUAUAUACAGGGGGUACCGGUACAGAGUCAAUGUGGAGGCUAUAUACAGGGGGUACCGGUACAGAGUCAAUGUGGAGGCUAUAUACAGGGGGUACCGGUACAGAGUCAAUGUGGAGGCUAUAUACAGGGGGUACCAGUAAAGAGUCAAUGU